rnacentral:rRNA from 1 species
AAUGAACGCUAGCGGCAGGCUUAAUACAUGCAAGUCGAGGGACAGCACAGGUAGCAAUACUGGGUGGUAACCGGCAAACGGGUGCGGAACACGUACACAACCUUCCUUUAAGUGGGGGAUAGCCCAGAGAAAUUUGGAUUAAUACCCCGUAAUAUAGUUGAAUGGCAUCAUUUGAUUAUUAUAGCUACGGCGCUUAAUGAUGGGUGUGCGGCUGAUUAGAUAGUUGGCGGGGUAACGGCCCACCAAGUCUACGAUCAGUAGCUGAUGUGAGAGCAUGAUCAGCCACACGGGCACUGAGACACGGGCCCGACUCCUACGGGAGGCAGCAGUAAGGAAUAUUGGUCAAUGGACGCAAGUCUGAACCAGCCAUGCCGCGUGAAGGAUUAAGGUCCUCUGGAUUGUAAACUUCUUUUAUUUGGGACGAAAAAGGGCCUUUCUAGGUCAACUGACGGUACCAGAUGAAUAAGCACCGGCUAACUCCGUGCCAGCCGCCGCGGUAAAAC